AGCCAUUAGAAGGUAUUAAUGGUUUAACCUGCCCAAUGUUUAAUUAUCAAUGGCCGCGGUACCCUGACCGUGCUAAGGUAGCGUAAUCAGUUGGCUUUUAAAUGGAGUCAGGAAUGAAUGGGAUAACCGGGUUUAGCUGUCUCUUAGCUAUUAUUUUGAAUUUACUGUUUAAGUGAAAAAGCUUAAAUUAUAUAAAGGGACGAGAAGACCCUUAGAACUUUCUUUAAGGCAGGAGGAAAAUAUCUUGUUGUGAUUUUGUUGGGGCGACAAAGGUAUAGUUAGAACUUCCUUUAAAUUACAAGCCGAUUAUAUUAAGAAAGGAUAAGUUACCUGAGGGAUAACAGCAUAAUUCUAAAAUUGAGUUUGUGACCUCGAUGUUGGACUAGGAA
rnacentral:rRNA from 1 species